rnacentral:rRNA from 1 species
UACGAAGGGGGCUAGCGUUGUUCGGAAUUACUGGGCGUAAAGCGCACGUAGGCGGACUAUUAAGUCAGGGGUGAAAUCCCGGAGCUCAACUCCGGAACUGCCUUUGAUACUGGUAGCCUAGAGAUCGGAAGAGGUGAGUGGAAUUCCCAGUGUAGAGGUGAAAUUCGUAGAUAUUCGGAAGAACACCAGUGGCGAAGGCGACUUACUGGACACAUAUUGACGCUGAGGCGCGAAAGCGUGGGGAGCAAACAGG